AUUGCACGCUGGCGGCAGGCCUAACACAUGCAAGUCGAGCGGAGCGGCGGACGGGUGAGUAAUGCAUAGGAAUCUGACUGGUAGUGGGGGAUAACGUUCGGAAACGGACGCUAAUACCAACUACUAUCAGAUUAGCCUAGGUCGGAUUAGGUAGUUGGUGGCGUAAAGGCCUACCAAGGCGACGAUCCGUAACUGGUCUGAGAGGAUGAUCAGUAACACGGGAACUGAGACACGGUCCAGACUCCUACGGGAGGCAGCAGUGGGGAAUAGUGGACAAUGGGCGAAAGCCUGAUCCAGCCAUGCCGCGUGUGUGAAGAAGGUCUUCGGAUUGUAAAGCACUUUAAGUUGGGAGGCGUUACCAACAGAAUAAGCACCGGCUAACUUCGUGCCAGCAGCCGCGGUAAUAC
rnacentral:rRNA from 1 species